UGCAGCACCGGCGACACCGUGCGACAGCACACCCACCACUCUAGGUGUCCGCCGCCGCCGAGCCAGGCUUGAUUCGCACCCAGGGCCUAACAACCCGCUCUCUCGCUCGCUGGCUGGCUCGUGUGUUUACCAAUUGCUGGUGGUGCGCUAAUGGGCGGCGGGCGAUAAUUACGGCGACGCCGUCGGAGGCCUGCAUGCCUGGGUGCAAUAAACGCGUGCGAUAGCAGCAACAGCAGCAGCAGCAAAAGAA